rnacentral:lncRNA from 1 species
UCUCUCUCUCUCUCCUGCUGCAUUGUGAAGAAACUGCUUGCUUCCCUCUCACCCUCUGCAGUUUCCUGAGGCCUCCCCAGCCAUGCGGAACGGGUCUUGCUCUGUCACCCAGGCUGGAGUGCAGUGACACAAUGCUGGCUCAACCUCCUGGGCUCAAGAGAUCCUUCCACCUCGGCCUCCUGAGUAGCUGGGAUCACAGAACCUUCCACUGGCCACUCAGCGAAAGGCAGCUGAUUCAGCACCUGGAGAAGACCGGCAACAGGGCUGAGUUUCCUUGCACUGCAGAGGAGGGGAGAGGCAAGGAGUGGACAUGAGCACGGAGGAUCCAGGGCACUCCCUUGAUGGUGAUGCCCUCGAAGGGCUGCCCCGUGCCCAUUGUACAGAAUGUGGAUUCCACCCCACGCCAUGAGAGCUCUCGCGCAGGCCCAGACCACUUUAUAAGCCAUAUUUCCCACCAAUUCCUGUUUCUGGAUCUGUCAGGUUAUUUCAUAUUUCUAGGCCCUUAGCUUUGCUUCCUCUUCCCUGAACGCCCUUUGCCCACAUCAUCCCAGCUCUCCUUCUCCUCCUGCCUUCUGUCUUCUCUUCCUCUCAUUUCUUGUCACCCAGGCUGGAGUCCAGUGGCGUGAUCACGGCUCACUACAGCCUUGAACUCCCGGGCUCAGGUGAUCCUCCCACCUGAGCCUCCCGAGUAGCUGGGACUACAGAUGCACACCACCAUGCCAGCUAAUUUUUAAAACUGUUUUUAGGGAUGGGGUCAUCUUCCUGUGUUGCCCAGGCUUGUCUCAAACUCCUGGGCUCAAGUGAUCCUCUCACCUCAGCCUUCCAAAGUGCUGGGAUUACAGGCAUGAGCCACAACAUCCAGCCCCUUUUCUCUUUUCUUACCCUUCUUUCCUAUUUUCUUUUCCAUUUUCUUUCCCUCCCUUCUUCUUUCUUUCCUAACUAUUAAGGAGUAGAUUGAAUUCAAGGUCUUUAUGUGUGUCAGUUUUUGUUUUCCAACAAAUAUUUCUUAAAAACCAACCAUUGAAACGUAAUGGUAACCACUGGCCCCUGUCUCCACCUCCACACCUAAGAAGCCCCAAAUCCAGAUGUGUCCAUUAAAAUCAGUCCAGAUCUUCUUUACC